rnacentral:rRNA from 1 species
GACGAACGCUGGCGGCGUGCUUAACACAUGCAAGUCGAACAGAAAGGCCCUGCUUUUGUGGGGUGCUCGAGUGGCGAACGGGUGAGUAACACGUGAGUAACCUGCCCUUGACUUUGGGAUAACUUCAGGAAACUGGGGCUAAUACCGGAUAGGAGCUCCUGCCGCAUGGUGGGGGUUGGAAAGUUUCGGCGGUUGGGGAUGGACUCGCGGCUUAUCAGCUUGUUGGUGGGGUAGUGGCUUACCAAGGCUUUGACGGGUAGCCGGCCUGAGAGGGUGACCGGCCACAUUGGGACUGAGAUACGGCCCAGACUCCUACGGGAGGCAGCAGUGGGGAAUAUUGCACAAUGGGCGGAAGCCUGAUGCAGCAACGCCGCGUGCGGGAUGACGGCCUUCGGGUUGUAAACCGCUUUCGCCUGUGACGAAGCGUGAGUGACGGUAAUGGGUAAAGAAGCACCGGCUAACUACGUG